AAGCCUAAUUACCAUCUAAAUAACAUCCCAUACAUUAAAACCAUUUAACCUAACUUCCUUGAGCAAAACUUAAUCACAUAAAUAACUAACUAAUCCACCUCGAAACCAACAUAAAUUCAGUUACAUUUCCUAACCGAUUCACAACUGAACUCACCAAUCCCAAUAACAUUCUAACAACAUAUAUAACCUUCAAUCAUCAUGUCUCUUCAUCAUUUUUUAUUCAUUCUGAUUCAACAUAUUCACUCUUCACCCUCUCUCGAAAUCAAACUAUGAGCCUCACUCAUCUCUCUCAAGAACUCAUACUCAAUACUCUUCAACAUCACAACUUCAUCUUCAUCUCUCUCGAAACUCAACCACUCAAUUCAGAACAACAGAGCAUCCGCAAUCUCCAUACUCUCAUAUUCAUUCAUACAAAUUCAGCAACAAACAGAAAGAAGAGAAUAAGAAGAGGCAGCGAAAGCAAGAAAGAGAAAGAGGUCAAGAGAACGUACCCGAGCUCCGUUUCCAAUUCAUCUUCUCCGACAAUGUGAUUUUUCAAAAACCUUCGAUUUUCAUCUCUUUUAUGAUACAAUGAUGUAGAUGGAGAAGGGAUGAAUCAAAUCCCUAACCUCUCGGUCUUUGAUUCCUCAUGAACAUCAUUUAAUUUAACAUAGAAGCUUUAGGGUUCUAGAGGUUUAUCCUUCGGUUUGAGCUCUAGGGCAAGAUUCAGUUGAAAUUGAUUGCAUAUUUGAGUUAAGCUUGAUGUCAUAAUUCUGGUGAUGG
rnacentral:lncRNA from 1 species